CGAUGAAUAAACUAAAACGACAUCUAGACCGAUGAAUAAACUAAAACAACAUCUUUACCGAUGAAUAAACUAAAACGACAUCUAGACCGAUGAAUAAACUGAAAAGACAUCUAGACCGAUGAACAAACUAAAACAACAUCUUUACCGAUGAAUAAACUAAAACGACAUCUAGACCGAUGAAUAAACUAAAACGACAUCUAGACUGAUGAAUAAACUAAAACGACAUCUUUACCGAUGAAUAAACUAAAACGACAUCUAGACCGAUGAAUAAACUGAAAAGACAUCUAGACCGAUGAAUAAACUAAAACGACAUCUAGACCGAUGAAUAAACUAAAACGACAUCUUUACCAAUGAAUAAACUAAAACGACAUCUAGACCGAUGAAUAAACUAAAACGACAUCUAGACCGAUGAAUAAACUAAAACGACAUCUUUACCGAUGAAUAAACUAAAACGACAUCUAGACCGAUGAAUAAACUAAAACGACAUCUUUACCGAUGAAUAAACUAAAACGACAUCUAGACCGAUGAAUAAACUAAAACAACAUCUUUACCGAUGAAUAAACUAAAACAACAUCUAGACCGAUGAAUAAACUAAAACGACAUCUUUACCGAUGAAUAAACUAAAACGACAUCUAGACCGAUGAAUAAACUGAAAAGACAUCUAGACCGAUGAAUAAACUAAAACGACAUCUAGACCGAUGAAUAAACUAAAACGACAUCUAGACCGAUGAAUAAACUAAAACGACAUCUAGACCGAUGAAUAAACUAAAACGACAUCUAGACCGAUGAAUAAACUAAAACAACAUCUUUACCGAUGAAUAAACUAAAACGACAUCUAGACCGAUGAAUAAACUAAAACUACAUCUUUACCGAUGAAUAAACUAAAACGACAUCUAGACCGAUGAAUAAACUAAAACGACAUCUAGACCGAUGAAUAAACUAAAACGACAUCUUUACCGAUGAAUAAACUAAAACGACAUCUUUACCGAUGAAUAAACUAAAACGACAUCUUUACCGAUGAAUAAACUAAAACGACAUCUUUACCGAUGAAUAAACUAAAACGACAUCUAGACCGAUGAAUCAACUACGUCACGCUGGUGUAAAGGAUUUUGGAGACAGGCGCAGGAAUACACAAUAAGGGUUUUUAAUACACCCUAAACAAACACGUAUACAAAAACACUGGGCUGAACCUAAACAAGAGAGGGCACAAAUAUAACAUGCUAAUCAGGGGAAAUGGGAACCAGGUGUGUGUUAUCAGACAAGACAGUCCGGGGUUGAUGAUAAUGAAUCCCGUUCAGUGAAACCUAGAAGUCAGUAGUGAUGUAGACCUCCGGAACUGGUGAAAAGAAUGAGCAGCAGUACCGGGGGGAUCCGUGACAAAUAAACUAAAACUACAUCUAGACAGAUUUAAUAAAGUAAAACUACAUCUGGACCGAUGAAUCAACUACAUCUAGACCGAUGAAUCAACUAAAACUACAUCUAGACAGAUUUACUGAAAUAAAACUACAUCUAGACCGAUUUACUAAAGUAAAACUACAUCUGGACCGAUGAAUCAACUAAAAGUACAUCUAGACCGAUUUACUAAAAUAAAACUACAUCUGGACUGAUGAAUCAACUACAUCUAGACCGAUGAAUCAACUAAAACUACAUCUAGACCGAUGAAUCAACUAAAACUACAUCUAGAUCGAUUACUAAAAUAAAACUACGUCUAGACAGAUUUACUGAAAUAAAACUACAUCUAGACAGAUUUACUAAAAUAAAACUAUAUCUAGACAGAUUUACUAAAAUAAAACUACAUCUAGACCGAUGAAUCAACUAAAACUACAUCUAGAUCGAUUACUAAAAUAAAACUACAUCUAGACAGAUUUACUGAAAUAAAACUACAUCUAGACAGAUUUACUAAAAUAAAACUACAUCUAGACCGAUGAAUCAACUAAAACUACAUCUAGAUCGAUUACUAAAAUAAAACUACAUCUAGACAGAUUUACUGAAAUAAAACUACAUCUAGACCGAUGAAUCAACUAAAACUACAUCUAGAUCGAUUACUAAAAUAAAACUACAUCUAGACAGAUUUACUGAAAUAAAACUACAUCUAGACAGAUUUACUGAAAUAAAACUACAUGUAGACAGAUUUACUAAAAUAAAACUACAUCUAGACCGAUGAAUCAACUAAAACUACAUCUAGACCGAUUUACUAAAAUAAAACUACAUCUGGACAGAUUUACUAAAAUAAAACUACAUCUGGACAGAUUUACUGAAAUAAAACUACAUCUAGACAGAUUUACUGAAAUAAAACUACAUCUAGACAGAUUUACUAAAAUAAAACUACAUCUAGACCGAUGAAUCAACUAAAACUACAUCUAGACCGAUUUACUAAAAUAAAACUACAUCUGGACAGAUUUACUGAAAUAAAACUACAUCUAGACCGAUGAAUCAACUAAAACUACAUCUAGACCGAUUUACUAAAAUAAAACUACAUCUGGACAGAUUUACUGAAAUAAAACUACAUCUAGACAGAUUAACUAAAAUAAAACUACAGUAUAGACUGAUUCUUGCCCAGAAGGUUGUGAGUUUGUGUCUCACCUUUGACCUUUACGCUUCUCCCGCCGUUUCAUCACACAAGUGGGAUUUGUUCAUGAUUCUAACACCAACGAAAAAAUGGUUCGUCCUCCUCAGUCUUUCAAAUCAGAUGAACCUACAGCUGUGCUUCAUCAAUGACAGCGGGAGCGAAGAAGAGGAGGAGGAUUCUGGGGUAACGAUUUGCACAAAGAAUUCCAAAAUGGUGGUAAAGAAUGCUUCCGGCGUGCAGGUGUCCCAGCAGCCCCAGUCCCCAGCUGCAACCAAAAGCAAAUCAUCAGGCUUCAAGGCUGCGCUGAGUGCACUCAAAAACAAGCUGAGAACAGAACAGAAACGGAAGAGCCUAGUGUGUGGUGAUCCACUGUUGAAGAAUAGAAAGCGAGACCAUAGUGACCUGCAGGCCUCCAGUCUCAAAGAACUCAACACUCACAGAAACUCUCUCAAUAAGGCAAUACAAGACCUGAGCACUGAGCUGGUGGUUCACCUCCAGGCUCGAGACCAGCUGAGGACGGAACAGGACGCCAUGCUGCUGGAGGUACAGGAUAUGACAUCACUCUGACCCAGUCCCAGGCAAGAUGGGGGACAGUUUGUGCUGCAGAUUUCGUACUAGAAAUUCCUCUCCGGGGUUCAAUCUCUAUGACAAGGCCCAUCACUAUAGAAUCCUUCUAAUCAUUCUAAUUCUAUGGUGAGUGUCAUCACAUAAAAUGGAAUCCUGGUGUCGGUGAUGUCACAAUUAAUCGAUGACGGAUUAGACGCCGAAAGGAUGAGUCAAAUCACUGUGAAGAGACUGCAUCACUCCUAAAGACUGUUGAAUUGAAUUGCACAGCGUUUUCGUUUUUCUUUUUAUACCCAGUGAGCAAAACUGGUUGAAAUGACAUCAUUACACCCAGUUUUACAUUCAUUAUGACAUCACGUCGACCAGUUUUGUUUUCCCUCUGUGUUUUUGUUUGUUUGUGGGAAAUCAAAUGUGUAUGUCUGGACUGUUAAUGUUUUAGUGUUUUAGGGGGAAAUAACUGGAAUAUUAUAAGGGAUGAAUAAAUUACCAUUGCUUCCCAUGGAUCGAUCUAGCUCUAAUGUCAUUGUCAUCCAAGUGUUGAAAUGUAAUGGUUGUUUGCUAGCACAUUAUUCAAAUUAUGCGUCAUAUUAUACCAAAUAAAGCUGAUUCUGAUUGCAUAAUAAUCAUCUAACCACUAGGCUACCGGGGCGGCAGGUAGACUAGUGGUUAGAGUGCAGGGGCGGCAG
ensembl:lncRNA